AUGUGUAGUCAUCAUAUUUACGUAUAUUAUUCAUCCCUACAACUCAGUUUUCUGGAGGUGCUUGUGUUUCAGAUUUCUACUGAUUUAGUCUUUGUAUUCUUUUGUUUCAAUGUACUGAUCACAUUUGCAUAGAUUAAAUGCUUUCUGUUUCUCUCUGAGCCCUGGUAGACUGGAAUAAAAUCUAUAUUAUUCUCUUGGUAGAACUUCUUGUGCCUCAUGAUAAAGAUGACACUAUAAAAUAAGCAAGAGGAACAUUUUUAAAAUAGGGUCUGAUCUGGUUAGACCUUCAUUAGAUAUCCCUGCAUGUACAGAAUAAUGAACUGAGGAAUGAAUCGUAUCAGCAUGACAAACAACUGACAUAGUUGAGGCCAGGGAUUUUUAAAGUUCCACAAAAUCCUGGUCCUUUUAGUUGGAGAUAACUAUAAAAAUAGAUGAAUUGGGCUCACUGACUGGGCUUCUAAUGCCUGACUGAGGUUCACCGAAAGGGCUAAAGUUCAACUUCUCUUCUAUCUCUGAACAUGCCUCAAUCCUGGACAUUAGUCCUCAGUCUCUGAAUGCCAGGCUUGCCCACUACUACUAUGGGUAGCAGUACCUUAGAGGAAGGAGUGCCUUUUUCCUAAUUUGACCUGGGUUGGUUAAUACCUGUUGAGCUAGAAAGAUGUACUACCUGGUGCAAGAUGAAAGGCAGUCUGAAGUUAGCAGACCGGGUAGUCAUUCUCUCUAAAUGCAAAACCCCGACUACCUAAAUCAGUAAUGAAAGCAGACAAGCUCCUAAUUGAAGUGAACUUGUUUGGUCAACAGAGAUAGACAGCUGAGGAGGAGUUCAUCUGUACCUUAGUGGGGCUUACUGCCUCCCAGGCGCCAUCUAAUGGUGGCUGUUUACCAGUAACCUUAGUAGGUCUUUUGUGCCAACUUUAAAGCAACAGAUUAUAAACCAUGCAAAAAUUACUUUCCUUCUUGUAGAUGCUCUCAGUCUAAGGUAUGCCGGGGAUGAAAACAGACGCCUCCAGAAGGUGGUGUUUGACCUCCCUGCAAAUAAGAGGCUCAUGCCAGCCUUUUGCUUUUGUGAGGAAUCAAAAUUCAAUAUAUAACCUGAAAUCUCCCCAGUUUAUUAAAGUCAGAUCACAGGUUCCAGAAAGGAAGAUGAAAUUUUCAUCUAUCUUCACUCUACACUUAGAUACUGUGUACAACUGCCUCAGCCAAAAUCUUGUAGAUUUUGAUGCAUUUUAUCUGUUUACACAGAUCAACAAUGCUUGGCUACUCUCAACGGUAAACACUAAAUCCUGUUUACAGAGGAAGGGCAGUGUCUGCGGGAAGCAUGCGCACAGUGCUCCAGGCUCCUCUUCUUUUUCCUUUUUCAGAGACUCCAGGGGAAUAUGGGCCUUUGCACCAUUUUACCCGCAACCCUAAAUUAUGAUUAAUCUAAAGCCCUUUCUCUCCUUGGUUAGGCCUGACACAAGCAACUGCUUUUCUGUCACAUUGAUUUUUCUGUCCUUGCAAAUUCAAAGCCAGGGUUGAGUCUUCCUAACAGGGUGAAUUCUCUGACAAGGAAGUUUUGCAACCUAAUUUACCGCUGGAGUCAAGCUUGUCAGUGAGUGCCAGAGGGGAACUGUCGCAAUCCACUGGUUAAGUAUGCAUUUAAUAGUGUUUAUCCAAGCAAGUUUGUGAUUUCUUCACUCUCUCCAACAAAUAUGUUAUUUGUAAUACCUAUCUUCUGUAAUCUAGGUGUUUGAAAAAUGUCUCUAACGUGUGUGGGCUAGAAUGCAUUUUGUUUUUCUGUGAGUCUGUUCAUUGAACAAGGGCAGUCUCUGAGGAACCAUCAGAAACUGCUUGCCAUUUUUCCAAAUUCUCUCUCUCUGCAGUGACCAUGACUUAAUCCUGAAGGAAAACAAGGUAUUGGAAAAAUCUGAAGUUCACAAGAUUUCCAACCUGUGGAUUUAAGGACCCUUGGGAGAUUGCAGAAUUGCAAAAUCAGGCAUCUGAAAGUGCAUUCAUCCAUUUAUCUCUUCUUAAUCAAUGGAUUCUAAAAGUGAAGUCAUAGCAUAUGGAUUAUAACACUUUUUGACAGUUCCAAGAGAAGGAAUGAGUCUUGGAUGGAUGAUUUUACUACUCAAAAGCUGCAUUACAAGUCUUGACAACUAAACUCCAGUAGAAAAAAGAAAAAGAGAAGUGGUGGCAGUUUGGGACCUUCCCUUUUCACAUAGAGGAGUGGACACACGCAAAUGAAUAGAGCCUGAGAGGAUGCAGUCAGAAUACUCACCAUAUUCAGGCCAGGAGUGAAAGUCAGAUUGGCAGUAUUUUGAAGACUGAUAUUAUCUCAGAUUCUUAGAGCCACGACCAGUGCCCAAAGUAGUGCUUUGCUUGAAUAUAGCAGACCCAAAGCACUCCCACUAAAAACAAAAACUGGGCUGAUGGCUCAGAAACAAGUGACUCAUGUGCAUCCAACAUGAAGGAAACUAAAGGCAAGUCAAAAUGAAAGCUGGAGAGAGCUCUAAUUAUUUGUGAUGGGGAAAGCCUCACUGAUUGGUGAUCACUUGGUGGCAUCACUGGAUUUGUGUUGAAGAAAACAACUUUAAGGACUCAGUGCUGCAUGGAUAAGUCAGAAGAAGCUGGAAGCAGGGAAAUAUUUUAAGCAAUAGGUUCGGUAUGAGCUUUUGGUUGCAAAGGAUAGAAAUCUAAAUUGAUCUAGUUUGAGCAAAAUAGAAAGUUGAUUGGAUCCUAUAACCAAGUGAAGAUGUAAAAUAGGCUUUAUAUUUGGCAAAACUAAUACAAUUAUGUAAAAUUUAAAAAUAAAAUAAAAUUUAAAAAAUAAAUAAAUAAAUAAAAAUGACUGUAAGAAUCAA